rnacentral:rRNA from 1 species
UAGUGGCGACGGGUGAGUAACACGUGGGCAAUCUGCCCUGCACUCUGGGACAAGCCCUGGAAACGGGGUCUAAUACCGGAUACGACACGGGACCGCAUGGUCUUCGUGUGGAAAGCUCCGGCGGUGCAGGAUGAGCCCGCGGCCUAUCAGCUUGUUGGUGAGGUAAUGGCUCACCAAGGCGACGACGGGUAGCCGGCCUGAGAGGGCGACCGGCCACACUGGGACUGAGACACGGCCCAGACUCCUACGGGAGGCAGCAGUGGGGAAUAUUGCACAAUGGGCGAAAGCCUGAUGCAGCGACGCCGCGUGAGGGAUGACGGCCUUCGGGUUGUAAACCUCUUUCAGCAGGGAAGAAGCGAAAGUGACGGUACCUGCAGAAGAAGCGCCGGCUAACUACGUGCCAGCAGCCGCGGUAAUACGUAGGGCGCAAGCGUUGUCCGGAAUUAUUGGGCGUAAAGAGCUCGUAGGCGGCUUGUCACGUCGGAUGUGAAAGCCCGGGGCUUAACCCCGGGUCUGCAUUCGAUACGGGCAGGCUAGAGUUCGGUAGGGGAGAUCGGAAUUCCUGGUGUAGCGGUGAAAUGCGCAGAUAUCAGGAGGAACACCGGUGGCGAAGGCGGAUCUCUGGGCCGAUACUGACGCUGAGGAGCGAAAGCGUGGGGAGCGAACAGGAUUAGAUACCCUGGUAGUCCACGCCGUAAACGGUGGGCACUAUGUGUGGGCAACAUUCCACGUUGUCCGUGCCGCAGCUAACGCAUUAAGUGCCCCGCCUGGGGGAGUACGGCCGCAAGGCU